UACUUUGAGAGUUGAAGGUA
rnacentral:misc_RNA from 1 species